GCGCCGCAGUGGCACACGCCAAAAUGCAAAUUUGGAAACGCACCCUUACAGGUGCCGGGGCUUCUCCCGUUUCUAACUAGACGGGAGAAGG
rnacentral:tRNA from 1 species